CAAGCCGAGCACCUUUCCUGUGUUUGAACUCACAGCAGGAGCUGAGCCGAUCUACUUGCAGGCCAUUCAGGAAGAGCGUAAGACUGAAGGGAAAUCCCUGGUGGCGUCUUGACACAAACUGGAACACUUCUACAAGUAAGGCUUCCCUUUGUAGACACACAGGUUCUCUCCUCCACAGUGUUGCUGGAAGACCUUCACUUCAUCUCUGAGGUCCAUCAGAUCAUGGGACAGGCAUGAUGGACUUGUGAUGUAAACACAGACUGAUGGAAUGAUUCAGUGAUUCUCAAGGCAUCCAGUGCCAAGGAUUUCAGCUUGAGGUGAACACUACAUCUGUGUAAAGUGUAGUCUUGGAAAUGCUCGACUGUUUCUCUGCCUGGCUUUUUCCGAUACAGAUUUGAUUUCCCUUAGCGUUUGUAAAGAAGACAACACAACCUGUACACCAAUCCACAGGCCAAGUAGAUACCAUUACCAGUGUCUGGUUUCUAUUUGAAUUGAGUGUGGAUGGAUGGCACACUUAACCCAUGGCCCCCUCUGAAUUUAUUUCUCUCUCUAAAAUUGUUCAGAAAUAAAACAUAUUGCCUGUGGAAGACAGUCUAAACAUAUGGAUUCAUUCGAAUUACACUUUGGCUAAAUAUAAUUCAUUUUUGUCUUAAUUAGCAAUUAAGACAUAGAAUUAAU